rnacentral:rRNA from 1 species
GACGAACGCUGGCGGCUUUCUUCCCCCCUUCACUUCUAACUUACAUGCCCUGCUUUUUUUUUUUGCUCGAGUGGCGAACGGGUGAGUAACACGUGAGUAACCUUCCCUUGACUUUGGGAUAACUUCAUUCAACUGGGGCUAAUACCGGAUAUUAUCUCCUGCUUCAUUGUGUUGGUUGGAAAGUUUCGGCGGUUGGGGAUGGACUCGCGGCUUAUCAGCUUGUUGGUGGGGUAGUUGCUUACCAAGGCUUUGCCUUGUAGCCGGCAUGUGUGGGUGACCGGACACAUUGGGCAUGAGAUACGGCCAAGACUCCUACGGGAGGCAGCAGUGGGGAAUAUUGCACAAUGGGCGGAAGCCUGAUACAGCAACGCCGCGUGAGGGAGGAAGGGGGUCGGGUUGUAAACCGCUUUCGCCUGGGACGAAGAGUGAGUGAAGGGAAUGGGUAAAGAAGCAAAGGAGAAAUAAGGG